CCUGCUGUCUCACUAAUAGUUCCCUACCUGACUGUGCGUUGAGAGUAAUUUCGGCGUGCAAAGCGUCAGGGACAACGUAGCCGAACGAUUCGCGAGAGUCAAUCCCAAACUGCCAGCCGCAGGCGGUGAAGGCG
rnacentral:ncRNA from 1 species